rnacentral:lncRNA from 1 species
CGGAGACGAUAUAUAAACCAGAUAAGCGACGCCCAGGAACUUUAUCCCCCGCUCAGUUCUCUUCUUUUUUCUUCUUUGUCUCAUAGACUGGUACGUCCCCUCCUGCCUCUCAUCUCCUCGACGCCGAUGCUCACGAUUCCCUCGCAGGCCCUUGGCCAUAUAGAGAAUAGAGUGAUCUACCGUCCUUGACGACCUUUUCCUGCGUUUCGCCGCCCCCGCUUGCAGCAACCGUAGACCCUAGACAAAUCUAUACGUUUCACUCCUAAGGUGAAUACACCUUCUGUCUCUCGCAUCCCCUUCAA